AUGAAAAUCAGUCAUGUGGCAAUUUAUCAGUUGCCACAUGAUAAUCACGCCACAACUUAUAGAUUGUCACGUGAAAAUAACGUCACUAUUUUUGUUAUUAACUUAAAAAAAAAACAUAAAUUAAAUUACUUACAAAAGCUCUAUUUGUGCGCUCGUCGACAAAACCUCCCGAUUUCUUUGUACGAGUCCUCGUAA